GAUGAAGAACGUAGCGAAACGCGAUAUGUAAUGUGAAUUGCAGAAUUCAGUGAAUCAUCGAAUCUUCGAACGCACAUGGCGCCUUCCAGUAUCCUGGGAGGCAUGCCUGUCCGAGCGUCGUUUCAACCCUCGAGCCCCCGUGGCCCGGCGUUGGGGAUCUGCCCAGGCAGUCCCCGAAAACCAGUGGCGGACCCGUUACAGGCCCUUCCCUUGCGUAGUAGCAUUCGCCUCGCAUCGGGAGCCGGCGGGCUUCCAGCCUCUAAACCCCCAUCAAGUCCGCCCCGGCGGCACCAAGGUUGACCUCGGAUCAGGUAGGAAUACCCGCUGAACUUAAGCAUAUCAAUAAGCGGAGGA
rnacentral:misc_RNA from 1 species